GACAAGACUUAUGGAAAGGUUGCUCAAGAUUUCUACUGGAAAUGCCUACAUGCUGACGUCAUACAUGCAGCUCUGCAAGCACUGCGACAAAUGCCAACGAACGAAUCACCAACUGCAGAAGCCCAGAGCAGAACUACAUCCCAUCCCUGUGACAAAGGUCUGGUACAGAGUUGGUAUUGACUUGGUAGGACCUCUACCUGAAACAAGCUCUGGAAACAAGUACAUUAUCACGCUCUCAGACUAUUUCUCUAAGUGGCCUGAGGCUGCCCCACUCCCAUCAAAAUCGGCAGAAGGUGUAGCAAAAUUUCUGUUUGACACAUUUUGCAGGCAUGGGUGGCCAGCCAAAAGUAAUUCAAUCAGACCAAGGAAGAGAGUUUGUCAACGAAAUCAACACCCGACUUUUUCAGUUGACUGACAUACAGCACUGCGUAUCAAGUGCUUACCACCCACAAACAAAUGGCCUUGAUGAACGCUUCAACCAGACUCUAGUGAACACUCUCAAGAAGGUAAUCGAUUCUAGUACUGAUGACUGGGAUCAGCAUCUCUCUGCUGCUCUUUAUGCCUAUCGCAUAUCUGUGAUGUACUCUGUACUAUGGACUAUUGGUGUCAUAAUUGGACAACCCUUUGGAUCAUUGGUUCCAGACUGUUCUUAUUUAUUCUAGAUUGUUCUCAAUAGACUCAGGGAUUUUCUAGUUGUUUCCUGUUCUUUUAUUUGUUCUAGAUCAUUCUAGAUACUUAGAUUGGUAUAUAAGCAGGUGUGUUUUGUUAUACAGUGUGUUGCAAUUAAAUGUUGAAGGUCAUUCUAUUGUGAUUACGUUCCGAAUACAAGGCAUACCGCUCGGCUUUGUUACAAUAUCAAAACAGGUAAAAUUUUAAAUGCAUGCAUAUAUUAUUUUUUUUAUUGUAGGCAUCAUCAAAGUACACACCCUUUUCCCUAAUGUUCAAUCGCCACCCGCGGAAAGCUGUUACUUUUGAUAUGGAUCAACGAGAUGGUGCCGACGCUAUAGAAGAUAGAGGAGAUGCUGACCAAUUGAGUGGAGAGGAGACUGAAAAUGAAGAAGACGGAGAAGACAUGGAUGGAAUUCUCCGAAGGUUGAUGGAAAUUCGUGACCGCUGUCACCUCAAUGCCAAGGAGAACAUUGCUGCUGCACAGCAAAAACAGAAGCAGCAGUAUGACAACAAGCAUAACUCUUUGAAGAGUUAUCCAGUUGGCAGCAGUGUCAUGCUAAAGAAUAUGGCCAAUUCUCAUCGAAUGGGAGGGAAAUGGACUGCACCUGGAAAGGUCCAUAUAUUGUCCAUAAGAUCCUUGACAAGGGUAGAUACGAGUUGCAGUCUGGGAGCGGCAAAGUAUUGAAAAAGUGUUACAAUGGGUACUGCUAAAGGAAUACUACUCUCCAGAAACCAACGAUGAAGAAAACACUCUUCCUGGCUCUGAAGACAACCACUCUUCUCCAGUCAAAUCACCUCCUAUAAGAAUAAACGAAUGCCUGACGUACCCUCUCAAAAUCCUGACCUACCCUCUCAAAAGCCUGAUGUACCCUCUCAAAAUCCUGACCUACCCUCUCAAAAGCCUGAUGUACCCUCUCAAAAGCCUAACAUAUACCCUCUCAAAAGCCUGACCUACCCUCUCAAAAGCAAGAUAAGCGUGAUAAGCGUCCUCUUGACACAAAAGAUCCUUGCAAGUCACCUCCUAUAGGAAGAAACAAAAGAGUCAGGAACGAUGUGGCUGAAGACCCUAGAUCUAAACCUCUUUGACAAACAAGUGUUGAGUGCAAUAGGUGGUAUGCUCUCCGACAAGCAUAUGCGCGCAGCCCACCAGUUAUUAUCGAUGCAAUUCCUUAAGUUUGAAGGCUGCUAUAAUACUCUCUUGGCCCAAUUAAAGGCAUUUCCACCAGUUUCCAAUAAUCAAGGCCCAGCUGUGAAAAUCUUCUUUGUUGAAGAACGACAGCACUGCAUGGAUUGCCACUUCUCUGUUUAAGGGUGAACUGUAUUUGUACGACAGCUGCUUCAAUGGAACGCUUUCCCCAAGUACUGAGCUCCAGAUAGCACAAGGCCCAUUAAUUCAAUGCAAUGGGCUGUUGGUUUCUGUGGUGGCUCUCCAGCAGCAAGAUGGUGCUAUCAACUGCGGACUAUUUAGCAUUGCUGCUGCAUAUCACGCUGCUAUGAACGAUAAUGUGGAUUCUCUAGUGUUUGAUGAGGCCAAAAUGAGAGCACAUCUCAUUAAGUGCUUUGAGAAGGGCAAACUCUCACGGUUCCCUUGCACAAAGAAAGCGAUGCCCAAAAGACCAACACCACAAACCAUUGCCAUUACAAUAUACUGCAUGUGCAAGAGACCGGACUCUUUUGAGGAUAUGGUCAUGUGUGACAAAUGUAUAGUGAGUGGUAUCACUAUAUCGCUGUGCCAAAAUUCGCAAAGAACCAGUAGGUGAUUGGUUUUGUUCUGGUUGUAUCACUUUAUGAUUUGUGCACUUUUGGUUAUAUUUAUUGUACUUCUUUCUCUUGCAUUGUUGUAUAUAUUGAGUAUUGAGAUCUAUAACAUAAUAGAUACAGCAUCUAUUGCAUCUAGUUAGGCUUUGUCUAUGGCUGUUACUUCGUAGCCUAGACUAGUCCUCUCAGAUUACCUGUGGACUGACUUUCACCUGCACCGCAGAAUGGGGGAGCUCUGGUCCUGGAGUAGGAGCUUUUGUCCUAGGACAGAAACUCCGGGGGGAGGAAAUAUCCUAAGGACGGAACCCCCCCCCCCGGAGCUCCUGUCCUGGGGGAGGCCUGGUCCUGUGACACCGGCAUGCACAUGAAUAGGAAUCUGUCCACUGAUAGCGAUGUCAGACCGAUUUUCAUUUUUACUAUUUCUAAUUCCUAUGUAUUACUAUCUCUUUUGAACACUCUAGGCAAACCAGAAAAACUUUACUGCACUGGAUUUGGUCAAGUGAAUGCAGAGAUACAGCGUUUUGAAGAACACUAGUCAGGGAAAAAUUUGUACAAAAAUUUACCGCAUUUUAAUGUACUUGGGCGGGACUUAUGAAAUUUGUUGUUAAUACCGGAAAUGAUCUUAAAGUUAGCAUAUCUGCUGAACCGCUUGGUCUAUUCUCUUUUAAAAAGUAUGAAAUGGACACUCAGAACUCAGGAGUUAACAUUGUAACAAUUUAAUAUCUAUUUUGAAGUUUAUAAUGUUUCUGUAAUGUAUAUCUUUAUGAUGUCCCUAUAAUAGUGUGAUGUCUCCUGCUUCAGAGAGUUCUUUUGGAUUUAAAGUAACCAUGCUAUCUUUUCUUUCGUACAGUAUAUUGUAUCAUAUUUCAGAACUCUCAUCAAUGUCCACCUUAUGCUUGUAUCUGUUUCUUGAUCUUUAAAAGCAACUUUUUUGUCAAUUUCA